rnacentral:rRNA from 1 species
UUCCGGUUGAUCCUGCCGGACCUGACUGCUAUCGGAUUGAUACUAAGCCAUGUGAGUCAUUGUAGCAAUACAAGGCAGACGGCUCAGUAACACGUAGCCAAUCUAACCUAUGGACGGGGAUAANCUCGGGAAACUGAGGAUAAACCCCGAUAGAUCAUUAUGCCUGGAACGGUUUAUGGUCCAAAUGAUUCGUCGCCGUAGGAUGAGACUGCGGCCUAUCAGCUUGUUGGUGAGGUAAUGGCCCACCAAGGCUAUUACAGGUACGGGCUCUGAGAGGAGAAGCCCGGAGAUGGGUGCUGAGACACGGACCCAGGCCCUAUGGGGCGCAGCAGGCGAGAAACCUUUGCAAUGUGCGCAAGCACGACAAGGUUAAUCCGAGUGAUUCCUGCUAAAGGAAUCUUUUGUUAGUCUUAAAAUCACUAUUGAAUAAGGGGUGGGCAAGUUCUGGUGUCAGCCGCCGCGGUAAAACCAGCACCUCAAGUGGUCAGGAGGAUUAUUGGGCCUAAAGCAUCCGUAGCCUGCUCUGUAAGUUUCCGGUUAAAUCCAUUAGCUCAACUAAUGGCCUGCCGGAAAUACUGCAGAGCUAGGAAGUGGGAGAGGUAGACGGUACUCGGUAGGAAGGGGUAAAAUCCUUUGAUCUAUUGAUGACCACCUGUGGCGAAGGCGGUCUACCAGAACACGUCCGACGGUGAGGGAUGAAAGCUGGGGGAGCAAACCGGAUUAGAUACCCGGGUAGUCCCAGCUGUAAACGAUGCAGACUCGGUGAUGCCCUGGCUUGUGGCCAGUGCAGUGCCGCAGGGAAGCCGUUAAGUUUGCCGCCUGGGAGGUACGUACGCAAGUAUGAAACUUAAAGGAAUUGGCGGGGGAGCACCACAAGGGGUGAAGCCUGCGGUUCAAUUGGAGUCAACGCCGGGA